rnacentral:sRNA from 1 species
UGACGCUGCGAAGCUUGAUUUCCUACCGA